AGAGUUUGAUCCUGGCUCAGGAUGAACGCUGGCGGCGUGCCUAACACAUGCAAGUCGAGCGAUUCACUUCGGUGAAGAGCGGCGGACGGGUGAGUAACGCGUGGGUAACCUGCCUCAUACACAUGGAUAACAUACCGAAAGGUAUGCUAAUACAAGAUGAUAUAAGAGAUUCGCAUGGAUUUCUUAUCAAAGCUCCGGCGGUAUGAGAUGGACCCGCGUCUGAUUAGCUAGUUGGUAAGGUAACGGCUUACCAAGGCGACGAUCAGUAGCCGACCUGAGAGGGUGAUCGGCCACAUUGGAACUGAGACACGGUCCAAACUCCUACGGGAGGCAGCAGUGGGGAAUAUUGCACAAUGGGCGAAAGCCUGAUGCAGCAACGCCGCGUGAACGAUGAAGGCCUUCGGGUCGUAAAGUUCUGUCCUCAAGGAAGAUAAUGACGGUACUUGAGGAGGAAGCCCCGGCUAACUACGUGCCAGCAGCCGCGGUAAUACGUAGGGGGCUAGCGUUAUCCGGAUUUACUGGGCGUAAAGGGUGCGUAGGUGGUUUCUUAAGUCAGGAGUGAAAGGCUACGGCUCAACCGUAGUAAGCUCUUGAAACUGGGAAACUUGAGUGCAGGAGAGGAAAGUGGAAUUCCUAGUGUAGCGGUGAAAUGCGUAGAUAUUAGGAGGAACACCAGUAGCGAAGGCGGCUUUCUGGACUGUAACUGACACUGAGGCACGAAAGCGUGGGGAGCAAACAGGAUUAGAUACCCUGGUAGUCCACGCCGUAAACGAUGAGUACUAGGUGUCGGGGGUUACCCCCCUCGGUGCCGCAGCUAACGCAUUAAGUACUCCGCCUGGGGAGUACGCUCGCAAGAGUGAAACUCAAAUGAAUUGACGG
rnacentral:rRNA from 1 species